GUCAGCAGUCCAUAACGUACGACCAGGUUGCAUUCUGGGAUGUCAAGGCCUUCCUCAGCCACACUGGUGGAGAUCAGCAGGUUGAGAGAACCCUGGCGGAAUCUGCGGAUCGUGUCCGCCUGCUCGUGCUGCAAGCAAGGACCACCACCUUGGCGUUACGUGUGGUCUCCAGGUGUCUUUUGGCCACAUACACCGCAGCACGGGUCUUUCCACCUCCAGUCGGCAGCCAAAUAAUUAUGUUCUCUCCUUGAAGAGCCUGUUCGACCACUUCCUCCUGGUAUUCAUACAGUCCAAAAUCUGCCAUCCUGAACUUUCCUCCUUUGAGACAAUAGAUCAUAAUUACAGAGACUCAACAUAUUACACGGAAGAACCAGUACAUCCAAAACUCAUUAAUGCUUGAAAGUCUGAGAGAAAACAAACAAGCCUGCUGUGAGACAAUGCUGAGUCAUUGCGUUUAAUGCUAUUCGAAAUAAAAUAAGCCUUUAUUAA